CAAAUAUAUGAGCGACGAAGGCUUUCUCAUCGCGCGAAUGGUUCUGCGGCGAACAUCUAUGUCUCCUGAACACGUUUUGCGCGACGAAUUAGUUUUCGUCGCGCAAUUCCAGUCGUCGCGUAAAUAUAUGUGCGACGAAUAAUUGAUCGUCGCGCAAAUUUUAUGCGACGAACAGUUGUUUCGUCUCCAUACCGUUGGUGCAACGAUGG
rnacentral:lncRNA from 1 species